rnacentral:rRNA from 1 species
GUCCACGCCGUAAACGAUGGCCACUCGGCCUUUGGGGCGGAACCUCCGUCCGUGGGGCCUUAGCUAACGCGGGAAGUGGCCCGCCUGGGAACUACGAGCGCAAGCUUAAAACUCAAAGGAAUUGACGGGGGCCCGCACAAGCAGCGGAGCGUGUGGUUUAAUUCGACGCAACGCGCAGAACCUUACCCAUGUUUGACAUGGCCCUGCACGACGGUGAAAGCCGUUCGCCUUCGAGGGUGGGCCACAGAUGCUGCAUGGCUGUCGU